ACGUAGGGGGCAAGCGUUGUCCGGAUUUAUUGGGCGUAAAGAGCGUGUAGGCGGUUUGGUAGGUCCGCUGUGAAAACUCGAGGCUCAACCUCGAGACGCCGGUGGAAACCAUCAGGCUAGAGUCCGGAAGAGGAGAGUGGAAUUCCUGGUGUAGCGGUGAAAUGCGCAGAUAUCAGGAAGAACACCCGUGGCUAAGGCGGCUCUCUAGUACGGUACUGACGCUGAGACGCGAAAGCGUGGGGAGCGAACAGGA
rnacentral:rRNA from 1 species